CCUACGGGAGGCAGCAGUGAGGAAUAUUGGUCAAUGGACGAGAGUCUGAACCAGCCACGUAGCGUGAAGGAUGACUGCCCUAUGGGUUGUAAACUUCUUUUAUAUGGGAAUAAAAUGUUCCAAGCGUGGGAUUUUGUAUGUACCAUAUGAAUAAGGAUCGGCUAACUCCGUGCCAGCAGCCGCGGUAAUACGGAGGAUCCGAGCGUUAUCCGGAUUUAUUGGGUUUAAAGGGAGCGUAGGUGGAUUGGUAAGUCAGUUGUGGAAGUUUGCGGCUCAACCGUAAAAUUGCAGUUGAAACUGGCAGGCUUGAGUACAGUAGAGGUGGGCGGAAUUCGUGGUGUAGCGGUGAAAUGCUUAGAUAUCACGAAGAACUCCGAUGGCGAAGGCAGCUCACUGGACUGCAACUGACACUGAGGCUCGAAAGUGUGGGUAUCAAACAGGAUUAGAUACCCCAGUAGUC
rnacentral:rRNA from 1 species